rnacentral:lncRNA from 1 species
AAUGGAAUGAGCACAACAUGGUACUAAUACCGUCAUUAAAAGGAAAAAAAACUAAAAGAAGACAUGCCAAUGAACAAGUUACAUCAUAAUUUAUGCAUUAUUUCUAACAAAUCUCAUAAAACCUUCAAGGUUUGGAGGUGGUUGUGUUGGCGGUGGUGGAAUGAUAAAAGGUAUAUUUAUUGACCAAAGUGGCAUAUCUUUCUUAGUCUUCCUUCCCUCAAUGGAAUGAGCACAACAUGGUACUAAUACCGUCAUUAAAAGGAAAAAAAACUAAAAGAAGACAUGCCAAUGAACAAGUUACAUCAUAAUUUAUGCAUUAUUACUAACAAAUCUCAUAAAACCUUCAUUGUUUGGAGGUGGUUGUGUUGGCGGUGAUGGAAAUGAAGCUUGUUCAUUACCACUUCCGGGUGAAGUUGCUUCUUGAGCAAGUUCUGCUAUCAUUUCUU